rnacentral:rRNA from 1 species
GUUAGGAAUAUUGGACAAUGGGCGCAAGCCUGAUCCAGCCAUGCCGCGUGAGUGAUGAAGGCCUUCGGGUUGUAAAGCUCUUUAGCCGAUGAUUAUAAUGACUGUAGUCGGAAAAUAAGCCCCGGCUAACUUCGUGCCAGCAGCCGCGGUAAUACGAAGGGGGCGAGCGUUAUUCGGAAUCACUGGGCGUCAAGCGUGCGUCGGCGGGUGUGCAAGUUGAGAGUGAAAGCCCAGGGCUCAACCCUGGAAUUGCUCUCAAAACUGCAAGGCUCGAAUUCGAGAGAGGAUAGCGGAAUUGUCAGUGUAGCAGUGAAAUGCGUAGAUAUUGACAGGAACACCAGUGGCGUAAGCGGCUAUCUGGACCGAUAUUGACGCUGAGGCACGAAAGCGUGGGGAUCAAACAGGAUUAGAAACCCUUGUAGUCC